CCAUGGCGUCCGUACGAGGAAGGGGCAAGAACACGCCAAGAACCGCAGGCUGUGGCUUUAUGGGGGAGAGGAAGCCACCAUUGCUGCCUGCUACGCAGUGUGCUAGUACUAGCUGUGUCUGGUUGGGAAGAUGGCCUUUAAUAAGGGAACCGUCGGGGUCCGGGGACAAUGGCACAAAAGGUGUGGAUUUGGGGUUCUUUUUGUAAAGAUCGUGGAGACGGGGAGGCCCGAGACAUGGAGGAAAGAGAGGACGAGGAAGAAAGUUUCU
rnacentral:lncRNA from 1 species